AGUCAUCAUCAUUGGUGACUAGAGUGGGUGUUAGAUAGUUGAACGAAGAUCAUGUACAAAGGUAAAUGCGUUCACCAUCCCGAGACCUAUCAUUCACAAACUAUCCUAAAAAACUGUAUUACUCCCUCAAUUAUCUAAGAAGUCAAGAUUUCAUAAGGAGAGAACUAAAAAACUAGAAUAGAUUGAAUAGCACACGACACUAUUAAUCUGCUAUAUAUACAUCCAUCGCCGACCUCCUCCCUUUUUAGUACUUUCAAUUUGCUUUGGCUGAUAUAUAGCCCAUUUUAUAGACACUGGAGCCAUCCUUUCCUCUAUGUGGACAUGGUUGGGGUCCGUCUUAACCCUGGCCAGGUAUAGAUCGAUAAUUAAGUUCAUAUGUACUAUUAUCUAUAGUAAUGUUUAGACCUACCUCUUCAAUUUAAUAAAUCUGUUGUGCUCAUCCCAUGCAGAAGCGACGGAGCUACACCCCAGGCCUUUUGUGUGUGUGUGGCUGGUCAUGGCGCUGAAAGCCUUCGUUCAUUGUUUGCACUAUUUCACACUGUAGCACCGAAGCAGCCUUGGGGCCAAGUGCUACCCUGGCUCCGCCCCUGCUGUGAAACAAUUGUUUGUAGAGCUUCACAUCAGGCCCACACAAAAAUAGGCAAAAUUAAUUACCCACCAAUAUUUUGGUUGAUUAAAAUGAAUCGAUCUUUCUUCAUCGAAUCCUUCAUUCGUCUCCUCAAUGGAUUGAAUAUAAUUACCAACAUUCGGGGGAACAACAACCAGAUGUUCAAAAUCUGACGUCAGAUUUUUAAGGAUUCUAAGUGAACACCAUCAUGCAUGUCGGAUCCCAAGUAUGAAUCUUGAAGCGUUCGCUCCAAACGCAUCCUAUGAGCGACGCUCAGAUGGCAAUAUGAGCAAACACGUUCGGGGAUGGCAAUUCUCAC
rnacentral:lncRNA from 1 species